UACGAAGGGGGCUAGGCGUUGUUCGGAAUUACUGGGCGUAAAGCGCACGUAGGCGGAUAUUUAAGUCGGGGGUGAAAUCCCGGGGCUCAACCCCGGAACUGCCUUCGAUACUGGGUAUCUUGAGUUCGGAAGAGGUGAGUGGAAUUGCGAGUGUAGAGGUGAAAUUCGUAGAUAUUCGCAGGAACACCAGUGGCGAAGGCGGCUCACUGGACCACACUGACGCUGAGGUGCGAAAGCGUGGGGAGCAACAGG
rnacentral:rRNA from 1 species